rnacentral:rRNA from 1 species
AGGCUUAACACAUGCAAGUCGAGGGGUUAUGCUGUAGCAAUACAGUAUGACGACCGGCGCACGGGUGCGUAACACGUAUGCAACCCACCCCAAAGAUUGGGAUAGCCCGGCGAAAGCCGGAUUAAUACCGAAUGUGACAUAUAUUACGCAUGUAUAAUAUGUUAAAGGGCAACCGCUUUGGGACGGGCAUGCGUUCCAUUAGGUAGUUGGUACGGUAACGGCGUACCAAGCCGACGAUGGAUAGGGGUUCUGAGAGGAAGGUCCCCCACACUGGUACUGAGACACGGACCAGACUCCUACGGGAGGCAGCAGUGAGGAAUAUUGGUCAAUGGCCGUGAGGCUGAACCAGCCAAGUCGCGUGCAGGAUGACUGCCCUAUGGGUUGUAAACUGCUUUUGGACGGGAAUAAGAAGCGUCACGCGUGGCGCAGUGCAGGUACCGUCAGAAUAAGCAUCGGCUAACUCCGUGCCAGCAGCCGCGGUAAUACGGAGGAUGCGAGCGUUAUCCGGAUUUAUUGGGUUUAAAGGGUGCGUAGGUGGGCUGAUAAGUCAGCGGUGAAAUAUUGUCGCUUAACGAUAAGACUGCCGUUGAAACUGUUGGUCUUGAGUAUGUUUGGGGCAGGCGGAAUGCGGGGUGUAGCGGUGAAAUGCAUAGAUAUCCCGCAGAACUCCAAUCGCGAAGGCAGCCUGCCAAGUCAUUACUGACACUGAAGCACGAAAGCGUGGGUAUCAAACAGGAUUAGAUACCCUGGUAGUCCACGCUGUAAACGAUGAUUACUGGCUGUUUGUCGUUAAAGAUAAGCGGCAAAGCGAAAGCGUUAAGUAAUCCACCUGGGGAGUACGCCGGCAACGGUGAAACUCAAAGGAAUUGACGGGGGCCCGCACAAGCGGAGGAACAUGUGGUUUAAUUCGAUGAUACGCGAGGAACCUUACCCGGGAAUGAACGCAGGGGGAUGUGGUGUGAAAGCAUCAUUCCAGCAAUGGCCGCCUGCGAGGUGCUGCAUGGUUGUCGUCAGCUCGUGCCGUGAGGUGUCGGCUUAAGUGCCAUAACGAGCGCAACCCCUGCCGCCAGUUACCAUCGAGUAAAGUCGGGGACUCUGGCGGGACUGCCGGCGUAAGCCGCGAGGAAGGCGGGGAUGACGUCAAAUCAGCACGGCCCUUACAUCCGGGGCGACACACGUGUUACAAUGGCGCGGACAAAGGGCAGCGACCUGGCGACAGGAAGCGAAUCCCCAAACCGCGUCCCAGUUCGGAUCGGAGUCUGCAACUCGACUCCGUGAAGCCGGAUUCGCUAGUAAUCGCGCAUCAGCCAUGGCGCGGUGAAUACGUUCCCGGGCCUUGUACACACCGCCCGUCAAGCCAUGGGAGCCGGGGGUGCCUGAAGUCCGUAACCGCAAGGGCCGGCCUAGGGUAAAAUCGGUGACUGGGGCUAAGUCGCAACAAGGU